rnacentral:piRNA from 1 species
UAUGUUUUAUUCUGUUGACUGUUUUGCAU